GUGAGUCAUCGAGUCUUUGAACGCACAUUGCACCCUCUGGUAUUCCAAGGGGUAUGCCUGUUCGAGCGUCAUUACAACCCUCAAGCACUGCUUGGUUUUGGAUGUUACCAUUGUGGUGCAUCUCAAAAGUAUUGGCAGUAGCACUGCUUGGUUUUGGAUGUUACCAUUGUGGUGCAUCUCAAAAGUAUUGGCAGUAGCACUCGGCUUCUAGUUGUAGUAGAUUUCUCGCUUUGGAGUUGAAGUGUCUAAUUGCUAGAACCUCUAAUUUGUCAAAGGUUGACCUCGGAUCAGGUAGGGAUACCCGCUGAACUUAAGCAUAUCAAUAAGCGGAGG
rnacentral:rRNA from 1 species